rnacentral:lncRNA from 1 species
ACAAGCUCAUAUUUACUACUUUCAAACAAAAAAUACACACACUCAAACACACAAAAAGAAAUUUCGCUUGAUGGAGAACAGUAAAGGAAAGCGUGAAUCUGUAGAAGGAGAUUCCAGCAAUGGAACUUGGGCAGGUUCCUUUAAGAAAAAUGGAAGCGUGAUUCCAAAAAAAGGAAAGCCUGUACUCCAUAUGGCGGUAGAGAAAUUUGUGAAAGGUGCUGUUUCCGCUUGUCAGAAGAACAAGGACAAGAAUAAGGUCAAUCCUUAUGGUGGUUCCAAUGCUUGAUAUGGUUACACAGGGUGCAAGGUUACUUUGCCAAAGUUUUCUUAUCUAGAAAACUUGACAAAGUUGAAUUCUGCCAAAUUUGAAUUGACACAUCCAAUUUUGGCAGAAUUUAAGUGAGUCUAGUUUUCUAGUAUAAUUUAAUUUCGGUAUAAUCUAUGCACUAUAAUAUGUUGUUGUUUGAAGUUUCUCAUUCCCUUGUAUCGUGUGAUUUUUCUUUUUCUCUUUUCCCGUAUGUUGAAAGCCAUUCCAUUGUAUUGCUAGAAUUGAACUUUUCAUUUGAGUGACCAAUUAUUUAGGUAAGUACAAUAUGUCGCAUCUUUGUGGGUCCUGUAUUU